AUGUUUCCGCCCGCGCGCCCCUCCUCCGGAGUGCCGUCGCAGCGGCUGCUGGCCAAUGGGAGAGCGGCACCCUCGCCACGUGAGGGUGUCUUCCCCCCCCCCGGUCCCCCCCCUCUCCCGGUCAGCACGCAGCCGGGGGCGGGGGAGCCCCGCGGGCGAGUGGCCCCUCCCGCCCCCGAAACUGUUUGCCCUCGCACGUGCGGCCGGUCACGUGACGAGGAGGGAACCCGGCCGCGCGGGUCCCCCGACGGGGAGCGGAAGUCCUCCGUAUCUAUGGUUCCGAGGGGGGCAAGAGCGCCCUUCCUUCUCUAUGGUCGCGUUGGCACCGCGGGGCCGACGGGAGGCUGGCGGACUAUGUACAUUUUUCCCUCAUUACCUCACGAGCAGGGAGGAGGCUGCCGGGAUAGCGGAGGACCUUCCCUCGGCCUCGCUCCAGUCCUCCAGCUCCCCUCGCUGCCCGGCAGCCCCGGGAAGCCCGGCUCCCGGCCCAGCCGCGGCGGGCACUGUCCCCCUCCCUCCCUCCCUCCCUUCCUCCCUCCCCCCGCCCGCCGGGCCCGCUUCUCUGAGGAGCCUCGCCCAGGCCCAUGGCUCCAUGAGGCGGGAGAAGGAGGAGGCUGCGGCGGCGGCGGCGGGGCAGCGGCGGCGGCGGCUGGGCUGAGGCGGAGGAGACGCCGCGUCCGGCCCGGGACGGGUGCAGGAGGUGGGCGAGCCCGGGGAGGGGGGAGGCGGGUGGCGCCGUCGUCCCGCCCGCCCCGGCGGCGGGGAAGGGGUCAACGGGGCCGGGGGGGGGCUCGCGCCCCCUGGCGGCGGCGGUUCUGCCCCACCGGGGGCGGGGGGCGGGGCGGGCCAGGCGGAGGCGCGGGGUGGGCUGCGGGGGCGUCCCGGGCCCCGUCCCCCUCCUGCCCCCCCCCCUCCCCCCCGCGCGCUGCCGGCGGGGCAGGCGGAACCCCGGAAACGCCGCCGGAAAGUUUGUGUCCGAGCGCGCGGGGCUCGUCCGGCGCCGCGGCGGGACCGAGGGGAGGGGAGGGAGGGGGGUGA
rnacentral:lncRNA from 1 species